rnacentral:rRNA from 1 species
CCUACGGGAGGCAGCAGUAGGAAAUUUUGCGCAAUGGGCGAAAGCCUGACGCAGCAACGCCGCGUGAUUGAUUAAGCCCUUCGGGGUGUAAAGAUCUGUCAGUGGGGACGAAACUUGACGGUACCCACAGAGGAAGCACCGGCUAACUCCGUGCCAGCAGCCGCGGUAAUACGGAGGGUGCAAGCGUUGUCCGGAAUCAUUGGGCGUAAAGAGUUCUUAGGUGGCAUAUUAAGUCUGGUGGUAAAUGCAGAAGGUCAAAUUCUGUUCUGCAAUGGAUACUGGUAAGCUAGAAUGCGGUAGAGGUAGAGGGAAUAACUGGAGUAGCGGUGAAAUGCGUAGAUAUCAGGAGGAACAUCGGUGGCGUAAGCGCUUUACUGGGCCGUAUUUGACACUGAGGAACGAGAGCCGGGGUAGCAAAUGGGAUUAGAUACCCUUGUAGUC